rnacentral:rRNA from 1 species
GAGUUUGAUCGUGGCUCAGAUUGAACGCUGGCGGCAUGCCUUACACAUGCAAGUCGAACGGCAGCACGGGAGCUUGCUCCUGGUGGCGAGUGGCGAACGGGUGAGUAAUGCAUCGGAACGUAUCCUGGAUGGGGGAUAACGUAGCGAAAGUUACGCUAAUACCGCAUAUUCUGUGAGCCAGGAAAGCGGGGGACCUUCGGGCCUCGCGCUCUUGGAGCGGCCGAUGUCGGAUUAGCUAGUUGGU